rnacentral:rRNA from 1 species
GACGAACGCUGGCGGCGUGCCUAAUACAUGCAAGUAGAACGCUGAAGGAGGAGCUUGCUCUUCUGGAUGAGUUGCGAACGGGUGAGUAACGCGUAGGUAACCUGCCUGGUAGCGGGGGAUAACUAUUGGAAACGAUAGCUAAUACCGCAUAACAGUAGAUGUUGCAUGACAUUUGCUUAAAAGGUGCAAUUGCACCACUACCAGAUGGACCUGCGUUGUAUUAGCUAGUUGGUGGGGUAACGGCUCACCAAGGCGACGAUACAUAGCCGACCUGAGAGGGGGAUCGGCCACACUGGGACUGAGACACGGCCCAGACUCCUACGGGAGGCAGCAGGAGGGAAUCUUCGGCAAUGGACGGAAGUCUGACCGAGCAACGCCGCGUGAGUGAAGAAGGUUUUCGGAUCGUAAAGCUCUGUUGUAAGAGAAGAACGAGUGUGAGAGUGGAAAGUUCACAAUGUGACGGUAUCUUACCAGAAAGGGACGGCUAACUACGUG